UACUCCGAUGGCUGAACAAUUGUUGUUUACUGUCAAGAUUACAUACGCAAUAAGCUGGCCUAGUUAAAUGUGGCUCUUCAAUUUAGCAAUAUGUACUUUCCUGUUAUACAUAGUUGUUUGUUUUUAGGAAAGUAUUAUGAUUAGAAACAUGCACACUUCUCAGUUACAGGCUUCAUGACGGUCCACGGGUUAUCCUGGGACGAUGAAGUGGACGUGGUUCCAGAUGGCAGAGUUUUCUGGCAUUAUUAUCCUACUGCUGUUAAGUUUCGGAAAAAUCGUUGAAGGACGCUGCCCAAAAUACAUGUAUGAAGUCCCCAAUCGACCUGAGCUGUGUGACCUGUGUCGGAUCUGUCCUGACAAUGUGGAGGGGACACCUUACAUUCAGCCAGGUUGUCACGAGCAGCUGCCCAAUGGACGGAAAGUGCAGUGCAGCAAUAUCAACUUCAGCAAGCCAGCAUGUGCAGAGCGGAAGCCAGAGAUCGGCAGUCUCAGGUGCAGUGAUGGCAAUACUGUCUACAGCACCUGCUCAUUACGAUGUCCUCGGGGAUACAAGCCAACUGUGUCACAUAAUGUUACCUGCCUGGCAGAACCACACAUACAGUGGAGUCACCUGUCGCCCAUCUGUCAGAGUAAAAGACAAUCAAAACAGAAGAAAAAGCACAGACACAGAGUUUUGAGCGCAGUGGCCAUGUUCUUUAUAGUGGUGUUGUUCCUGCUUGGGCCGUGGUGUAUUCUCAUCUGUCUCAUCAGCUAUAACAAGAAACAAGAACAGCACAGUCUACAAACGGAACAAGCUGCAAAGAAUCCCAGAAGUCGAGUUGUGAUGAAGCUGAUUAACGCAGAGCACAGCCAAAGAUGCUACGUCCUCCGAAACAAGUGGGUCGCCAAAGAUGGUGCUAAUGUCACAAUCUCAGCCACACCCAAGGAGGAAGCUCUGACAGUAACAGCCUUGACAGUGGAGAAGAUAGGACCAAACAGUGCCAUCUACAUGGCUCCCAGGUCGGCACCAAGUCAGAUCAUCCUGCACAAUGUGUCAGCACAACACCCCGGGCGGUACAACUGGAUUGUCAACCUCAGUGAUGGUACCUCGGAGUGUGGGGUGUUCUUCCUAGAGGUGAAAGUGUCUGCAUUGUCAGGCCUGUCUAGACAAGGAACUGGGUUUGGGAGGCUCAUGAAGAACCGCAGUGACGUCCAGCGAUUGUGUGUCCUGUUAGAUCAGGAGGAGGUCCCGAGUGUCGUUUCUUGGCGUGACAUAGCCACGUCCCCCCUCCUCAACUACGACUUGCAGCAGAUCAAUCAUGAGGAGUACCAUCUGAAAGGUAAACCCUGGACAAAGGGCCCUACGAUGAACGUGCUGACACUUCUACACCAGAAGGGCACCACCAUUGCAAGUCUGACAGAGUUCUUGAACAAUCAUAUGAGUCCAACCAGUGAGCCUCUCCAAAUACUGAACAAGUACUUAUGACUAAUACUGUACGUUGUUUCUAGACAAGUUUUAAAUUAUUGUGACACAUUAAGGAUGGAGUGUCAUCAAAAUUUUAUGUCAGUCAUUUAAACAGUGGGAGUAGUCUUAUUAAACUUGUGAGCCAGGUCAAAACAAAGACUAUAUAAUAAAUUAUUUUACUAAAUUUUAAAUGUUGAUUUUAUGGUCUCUGGUCCCAACAAAAUUAUUACUUUUUUAAAGAAAAAUGUUUGUGUUUCAAAUGUAAGAAGCUGCCAUUUAGUAGUUCUUGUCAUUAAAUGCAACAUUACCCAGAGUGUUCGCUCAAUAGUGAAAAUAUUGAAGCAACUUAUUAUUUUGUUGCCUCUUGAACUGCCAUAAGUGUAUACUGUGAGCUGAAUCUAGAGUAAAUAAGACCUGAUUCAUCAUUACGUGGUGUACAUAUAUUCAAUAUAACCAUAGUUGGUGUCAUUAUAGCUCAUUUCUUAUGUGAUCUCAUUUAGCAUUGUUUCUGGUGUCCCCCGCCGUGAUAUUGCUGGAAUAUUGCUAAAAGCGGCGUAAAACCAUACUCACUCAUUUAGCAUUGUCAAAAGGAUGUGCCUUUUGGAUAUUCUUGAGAUGACAAGAGUUAUUUCCCUUGUCUUAUAAACGGACCGUGAUGUCACUCUAUUGUUCUUGCAAGGCAGUAUUUCUAGUCAUAUCCCGAUGGCCCGUCGAUUAGGGGGCAUUACUUAAAUAUUGUCCCUCUGCCACAGGAUAUUACUUCAAUAUUGUCCCUCUGCCCCGGGAUAUUACUUCAAUAUUACUUGUUGUGAAGAUUGAUAUAACUUUGUCUUGCUACCGCUGAAUGCGAUCGUAAGACAUCACAUUAUUGAAAACUUCCAACAUUAGUACCGAUAUCUGGUUUCGAACCUGCAACCCUUCGCUUAUUAGCUUGGCGGUUUUAUUCACUAGGGUACGAAGGAUCACUGUGAAGAAUAAGAUUGUUUGUCAGCAUGAACCGUGUGUUCCUCACAAGACGAGUAGUGCGGGCAGCGCGCGUGCAGGACACAGGUAGCAUGUGCAGAGCAUGUGCAUUACGCAUGCAAGGCAAGGUGUCGGCUGCCAGUCUCAUCCCAGUUGAUUUCAACAGUAAAUACCAAAUAUUGAAAUUAUAUCUUUUGGUCGGUUUAUAAGUUGGAUAUAACAUGACCCGUGGGCAUUAUUGAAAAGUAAGCCCUCUUCCCUCGGGAAGUGGGCUUACUUUUCAAUAAUGCCCACGGGUCAUGUUAUAUCCUACACAUAAUGUCCUUUGUCCAUACUUUUAUUUGCAAGCAGAUAUGGCAGGCAGACGAAAUAGUUUAAAAAUUCAGUUUGGGUUGAAGGAUCUUUAAUCCUGACAAUAAAAUAGCAACAGUUUAAUUGUGAAAGUUGGAGCACAGUCAGGACAGUCCUGGAAUAUGAGAUGUAUAAUUGACAGGGAGUAAUAUUAUUGUGUAGCGGUGACAGCCUUGUGACACAGUAUUGAAAAGAGUGAUUUUUUAAACUAUUGAUGAAGCUUUCUCACAGACAGUUCAAAACCUAAAACUUGUUUCAUGCAUUAUGAUACCCUUCAUUUCUUUCAAGUGUAAAAGGGUUCUUGCCCCACCCUGUUGUUUCAUUUUGUAUGAGUGCAUUGGAUUAAAUAACUGAUGAUAAUGAUGAUGCUGAUGAUGAUGAUGAUGCUGAUGAUAAUGAUGAUGCUGAUGAUAAUGAUGACUGUGGUGAUAUACAUAUAUUUUGAUUCGGGGAUCUGCAACACAAAUACUUUGUCUAACCUAAUUACAAAUCGCAGUCAGUUAAUUUUAAGUAUGUCACAUAUAUUUAUGUACCUGGUAUAAGGUAUAUAUUGAUAACUUUCUACAUGGAAGUUAUCAAUAUAUACCUUAUACCGGGUACAUAAAUAAAUGUUUAGACAACUGUUCCCAACUAUGUGGUAAAACUCAUGUUAAUAUUUAUGUUCACUGAAAUAUUGUUAUGUAUAUAGUUUAUUGAUGCUUGCCACUGAUCUACAUAGUAGGAAUGUUUACUCACUGUAAGCCUCUUUGGAGCUUGUGACAGGUAAAUGUUGUACAAGCAAUCAGUGUUGAGUGAGUGAGGAAUUCAGACAAGUAUUUUGGAUUUGUGUGUGUCAAACAUGAUUGUGAUAAACGAUAUCUUAAUGGGAACAAUGCCAUGGAGUGUCCAUGCAAGAUUAUUUGGCAGGUAUAUAUGUGUUCUUUGGCAGUUUCUCUUUGCCAGAUUGAAAAUGUGUGAAUCAAGGGCUUAAGAAAGAGGCUUCUUGUUGGUUAACAACCCUCAGAUCUUUGCACGGAAAUAUUGAAUGAGAGUAAAUGAUUGGAUUUUGUGAAACUGAAGAAAGUGAAAAAAAUGAAAUCUAACACAAUUCGUUUAAACUGCUCAUAGCUAUAGCUUCUUAUUGGACAUCCCUUUAUCAUUAGUGUAAUAUGUAUCACUCUGUAUUGUGUUAUUUAAACCAUUUUUGGACUUUUCUCCAACAUCAAGCUGACACGCUGUGAUAUAACGUGAAUACUGAAGAAUGGGGUGAAUAAAAUCCCUUUUCACUCAUUCUCAAGUAUAUUAUUCACCCUGUUUGACAAGUUAUUGCUUUCUAAGAAACACAAGUUAGGGACUGUUCAUAAUUUAUGGCUAGGGUGUGUGUGUGUGUGUGUGUUUGUGAUGAUGCGUUUUACGGAGAAGCAUGUACAAUGGGAAUGAUUCCCCACCCCCACCCCCCCAAAAUUCAUGUACAAGGUAAGUGACCUCCCUGCAUAUCAUGUACAUGUGUACAAAAUUGAUGACCCCCCAACCCCCUUAAAAUCCUCAUCAUCCACCCUUAGCCAUUAAUUAUGAACGGUCCCUUACAUGUCAAGUUUCACUUUUAUCAUGGCAAGCAAGAAAGAUUGAAAUAUUCUUAUGUAUGUAUGUUAUUGACCAAAGUCUUUCAUGUUUGGCAAGAUAAAGAGGCUGGUUUACCAAAUACAUCAGAUUAUGCAUUAAGACUUACCAUCACUGAGGGGUGGGGAGUGACAUUUGUUAAUAUGAAACUAAUGUUAUAUUUUCUGUUGCCUUGGUGACAUUUGGUUGUAUGGAACACAUUCUCCUACCCCGGGUGAUUCAAUGGUUGAUACACAAUGGUGUUACCCACCUUGCAGGAAUCUUUGGUAUGUCACACCAAACAGAGUCGGUUUUAAACAUUAGUACUGUUACAGUCUUAGCCUUGACAUUUGUUAAUGCAUUCUUUUUUAAUGUUUUCAACGCAUGCAGAUAAUUUUUCUUGCAAUUUUGAUUGUUUGUAAGAUUUUACAAUAAGUUUAAAUAUUUGUUGUUGUGACAAUAUAAUUCAUUCUCCGUUAUAUUAGGCCAAAUAAAAAAAAAUUGUGGUUCCGAUUACACCUCUUAAAAAUUUAGGGUAGGUAGGUUUGUACUUUUCCAGAAGUAAAGUACAAACUAAUAACACAUUUAUCAAUGUGUAAUUGUUUAUUCAAUCAAGCUUGCAGCCAUCAUAUCGACUUUCUAUAUCAGAGUGACAUAUCUGUUGGUGCCGGGACAAAAACAAUGGUAUCUGAAAGCUUAUAUUAUUCAUUCCGCUUAAAAAAAAUAGGGUCAGCACCAGAAUUCAAGGGUCGGUAUGGGGAUUCGGAACCACAACAUUUUUAUUUUUAGGCCUUAGCAAAAUAAUUUUAAACUGUUUUCUCCAAGAAAGAUUUCUUCCUGUGACAAACCUCACAUGCCUUCUAUUGAACACACUGGUCCUCAAUAGCCUGGUGAGUGAAUCAGAGGCUAAAGGCAUGGUGUUAUGGUUUGAAGCAGUUUGAAGCAGUGCCAUUUAAGACAAUUGUUGCUUUCGGAAUGUAUGUAUAUUUGGCAUUUCAUUGGUAAGAUUUUUCAGCAAAUGGACGAUAGUUGGUGGUAAGUUAAAACAUACCAAAAUGAUCAUCAGUAGUCUCCUAUCUUGUGUCCACAAAGGGGACAUUUGUCAUGAUUAAUAGUGAUUAGUGUUUAAGUAAGUGACACCCUCCCCCUGCAUAUCAUGUACAAAAUCAAUGACCCCCUCACCAGUACAUGUGUACAAAAAUGAUUCCAUCCCACCUCCCCGAAGAAAAUGGUUGACUGCCCCUUAAAAUCAUCAUCACCCCCCUAGCCAUAAAUUAUGAAUGGCCCCUUAACUGACUAGUCUAGCUUUACACUGCCAGGACCAUGAACUAACUGAGUGUGUUGCCAAGAAACUUUGUUGACACAAGAACACAUUUCAUCACAUUUUUAUGGAAUAUUUUUCAUUUUGCAUAUUUCAAAAAUCUACAGAAUACUUUGUAUAACAGGCAGUCAAUAUCCUAAGAAAUUUCUUCUAAACCUGCAGAGUUAUCUCCCUUUGUUUCCAGAUAGAAUCAGAGUAUACAUGGCAGUAAUUUGUUGACCAUGAUGAUAGUAUAAUUUUUCCCCUCUGUUAACAAUGUUUCAGCAAUGUCACAUAUGUUCAAGUAAAGAAAUCCAUUUGUAUCCAUGUAAGAAAUUGAACUUUGACCUUUAGCUUUUGUGGUGUAAAGUGUUUCUGUAAAUCAUCCAAUAUUUAAUGCUGAUGAAUUGAUACGGGUAUUACAGUUUUGGAUCUUAAGUCUUCAGUGUUUUUGCAACUGUUUUCAGUUGCAAAGCAAUUUGAUAAUGAAUGUCAUUUUUAGCUCAAAUCCAAUUUUCAAGUGUAUACUUCAUUUUGCACUGCAUUUUUUUUAUCAUAUGAUGGAGAUUUUGCUUUGUUGAAGAAUAUUUAGGCACAAUUUGACUUAAUAUCAUGCUGUAGUUCUCUUCCUUCUUUGUUCAUUAUAAGAACAUUCCACAAUUCUCAGACUAACCAUUACAUGCCCUCACUCAAACAAAUACUGGUUUUGCAGACCUACCUCAUGAGAGAGUACUCAACUUUUGUUAAGGAUAUCAGCCAAUACCAGUAUUUAAUCAAACAUAAGUGUUAACUGUUUGUCUAAUAUUCAGGUUAUGCUAUUGUAGCUUCAUGCUUAUUAUUGCUGGUUUGUAAGAAGAAAAUGGUUUGUGACAUUUUACACUCGUGUUUUGUCUUGCCGCUACCGUUAGGAGUGUCUAGGGAAUGCCUCAUGUAUCUCCACAUUCCAUUCUAUAAUUUGAAUAACAUUUCUUCUUUCUAGUCAAGUUUCAAGGUUAAAACAUUUCUCCCAAUAAACAAGGAUCUGUAGUGGAAAGAAGUGACAGAAUCUAAACAACAAAGGAAAAGAAAAACAUUUUCCUCAAUAGACAAGAAUCUUGAUAGGUUAAAAAUAGAUAAAAGGUUCAACCUGCAUUGUAUUAGCUGAAAGAAUAACCAGUAAAGUAAGUUGUCUUGAGUCCAUAUUUGAAAAUGUUUUACAUGAUGAGUGUCAUCAAAAUAUCCCUUGUAAAAGGAGAGUAAUAUGAUAUUAAAAAGAGAGUACUAUAUUGAAAAGAGAGUAAUAUGAUAUGAAAAGAGAGUAAUAAUAU
rnacentral:misc_RNA from 1 species